UUACGGCCAUAUCACGCUGAAACACCGGUUCCCGUACGAUCACCGAAGUUAAGUAACGUCGAGCCUGGUUAUAUGGGUGACUGCUUGGCAAUACCAGGUGCUGUAUG